ensembl:lncRNA
GAACGACAUGAGGUUGAGUCAUUAAUGACAUAAUUUUGAUUUUUGGGUGAACUAUCCCUUUAAAUCUCUGAUAAGCUUUUCAUGAUAACCCGUGUCAUUCAGUGACAAGCAAAACAAAAGCAUAUUUUAAAAGCAUAAAAGUUUGUCACAUUUACAAUGCCCUGUUUUUAUUCCCACAGCCAAAGCAGAGCUGGAGCUCUAGGAAAAACAGCUCGCUGACAUGCAGUGGAUUUUUCUGGAGCUGAGCAUGUUUUUCUCAGUCAAGCCUAAGGCGGGAGAGAAGGAGGUUUCACCAAACACAUUCUUCACAGUGUGCCAUGAGUUUUCGUUAGAUUUUAAAGAGAUGUGGAAAAGCAAGAAUAAAUGCCUAUUGCAGGAGCGAAAGCCAAGCUGGGACAGAAGAUGUGAAUUUCUGCUAUAACGAAUCCCACAAAACUCUUGUUUCUUUCUUUUUCUACUUAACAGUUACUUCAAUAUAAGAAUAAUAGCCAUGAGGAAGUUUGCAUUAUGAAUGUGAACAAGGUCAGAAUUUUGUAGUUUCAUAUGAAGACAAUCAAAGCUUAAAGUGCCCAUAUUAUGAUCAUUUACAAGUUUCUAGGUCUGCUAGAACACAUCAUCUGCCUCUAAAUAAUGUUUGUUAUUGCUGACCUGGCAAUGACAUUUAUGAAAAUGGAAUAACUGAAUACAUAAAGAAAUGACAAUCUCUGGUUAUGUUUGACUCUGUGACAUGUGUAGAGUCAUAAAAGAGUGUAUUUUUGGUGAUUCAUAUGUGAAGAGCCACAGCCAUCUAAUUCUUCAGGUGUACAUUUUAUAAUAAUCUGCAUUCAUAGUUUCUUCUACAGGUGUUUCUAUACCUCAGCCUAUGAAAUUUACACAAAAUUGAGUGAUAUGUUGUGAGUUUCUCUGUUCCAACUAAACUGUCAGGUGUUUAAUGAAAGGUUGUUGAGAAACAUAUGCAAAUAUUAUGAUUUAUGCCAUUAUUAUUUUGUGUCCACAGCUGUUGUCAGUAGUUCACUGUGUCCAAUAACCUUUAAUUUACCUAAAUGUAUUUUCAAUUAAAGAGGCUGGCAGCUUUGUAUUUUUUGCUUGAUCAUUGCUGUGCUAUUUCUUUGUGUGAUGUGUUAAUGAACUGAAGCAGCUGCCAUAUGAAUGUUAUCGUUCCCUUUUG